AAGUUUGACAUUCUUCUUCGUUUUGCCUUUUGGUUCUUUCAUGUUUUGUUCACCAUUUUAUUAAUCACACGAGCCGGAGCCGCAUCAGAAACAAACAAAAAUGGACGCCAUUGAUUCCGUCUUCGAUCCACUCCGGGAGUUCGCCAAGGACAGCGUACGUCUCGUCAAGCGCUGUCACAAACCCGAUCGCAAAGAGUUCACAAAGGUCGCGGUUCGUACAGCGAUUGGCUUCGUCGUCAUGGGAUUCGUUGGUUUCUUCGUCAAGCUCAUCUUUAUCCCCAUCAAUAACAUCAUCGUCGGAUCUGGCUAGACAGCUGAGGCCACAAAAGGAGCAGGCCGGACAAUAUAGAAGAAUGGAACUUGAUCAACUAUUUCAAAUCCUUACCAAUGUUAUUAUUAAUUUAAAAAGCUUAAUUUAUUUUCUAGAGAAGUAUAAAACUCCAUGAAUGGCUGUAACGAAUUGCUAGGAUUAUGUCUUACUCCUGAUUGAUCCAGUGUCCUUGUUCAUGGUCACUGGUUAUUUUAGAGUAUAGUGACUAAGUUUUUGCUUUAUCAUAUGAAAGUUGGCUUCAUCAUUGGUAUGAAAACUGUAGUUUUCCCCUCUCCUUCAUCUCGUCAGGUGUCCGCAAAUUGAACUAAUUAACUUUGAAAUGGCCAAGGAAGCCAAGAUAUUUUCAGUAAGGUGCGGUCGUGCACUCGAAUGCACAUAACAUUUUUGUAUAAUAGAUGUUUCAUGUAGCAUAUCAUUAUUUUUUGGGUCAAAUUUUGACUUUUGGACUAAACAGAGGUGGGACUCGUCCUUUGAACAAUCUCCUGAAUCUCUUCUGAUGACAGGAUUGAUGCUGAACUGUCAAAUUCCACACUCUCCAGCUGCUGGUGUAACUGGAGACAAACGAGAAACAGAAACAUUAAGUCACCAAUAUGGGGUAUAUAAUUAACACAACCACCUAAUCAGAUUGCAAUUUGUUUCCCUCAAAAUAGUUAUCUUGUUGAAAGAGAAAACUGCAAACCUUCUCGAGAAUGGCGGAUUGAUCAUAAGAGUGUAGCUUGCGCAUAUGUUGCAGCAUCUCCAGUUGCUGUAUGAAGAGUACAUUCAGUUUCCAACCACUAUUCGUAUUCAAAAUAUUUGCUUUCAUGUAGUUUGACACGGCCAAGGAAAUAAAGAGUUCAGUAAAAAGAACAAGAAGAGUUCAGAAUAAAUCAAAAGGAAGAAGACAAAUGCACACAUACAAAUACGCUGGUAAAAAUGAGCUCUCUCUAUGCUAUCAUCAGAUUAUCAAUUCAUAUGAUGAGUUGAAUGACAGUUUUCAA